CACCCACCCCCCGGCAAUAAGAUUUGUCAUGCAGAGAUGUCUUAACUGGAAGCAGCCCGAGUCAUCAAUUCACAGGUAGAAGCUUGCCUCCUGUAUUCACAGGCACCUGCUGCAGAUAAUGAAAAAAUAUUUAUUGUAUCACUAAAAUCUGAGUACUUAUUAAGUUGAUUUGCAUUAAUUUUAAGGGAGUGGAAAAUUUCUAGUACUUCAGGUUUUAUUCUUCCAUUUCAUGUGAUUUCAUACUCACUUGGGCACCAUUGAAUGUGAUCAUCUAUGUACAUUAUAAUUCCUGUUGCCUCUUUGCUACAGUAUUCUGCCCAUGCUGAGAAAUUGCCCUUCAAAGUUCAGUUUAAUUACAAGCCUGCCACCGCUCCAACCUACGUUGCUUACUUUCUGAAUGGACAGGAACCUGCCGCGUAGCCGGUUUUUCCUUCUCUCCAUACUGCAGAUUAAUACACGUGCAGCUACUUUUGUAGAUUAGUGCUUAUUACCUAUUUCUUUUCUUCCCAAUUAUUACAUAGCUAACACAACUUGCUGCGUAAUUUUAAUUUUCAAAACAUGUCAAAUGUUAGUAAUGAGAUAGAUUACCAACCAAUCUGUUUUUGUUCUUUACAACUUGGUUUUUCAGCUACUUGCUUGACUAAAACCUCUGAUUUUGUAGGCUCAAGAGGAUUCCACAAGCCAAUGUCCUGCUACAUUUAGUAGAUUUUGGUUUGUUGUAGCAUAACUGCUUGAUUAAAAUCCUGUGAGAAUUUAUCUAUUUCUUCUGAUUUCCACUAAUCUUAUUCGUAUUUGUUUGUUUUGAAGUUUGAAAUGUGUGAAUUUGUUGAAAUCAUACACCAGGUUAUGUUUGUCGACUUUGGUCUGGCAAAGGAAAGAAAUGGAGGAUGCCUAUAUAAGGUGAUAAUAUCUUACCCUCAAGUAAUGGUUGUAAAUGUAUUACCUUGGCUCCAACUAUUAGAUAUCUCUACGGAGAUGGUCCUCCAGUAGAUUAAUAAAAUCUUAAAUUUAUUGAGGAUGUACUAACACAAGCCUUAAGGAUCUACCUAAUUUGAGUAGACAUGAGGGAGUGAUUUAGUUUAAUUCUUUGACUUUACCCUAUUUCAUGAGUUUCUGACUCCAAAUUGUGUAUGCUCAAUGAAAAGAUUCUAGACAAUACCCGAAACUGAGCCUAGCUGCAAUUGAUAUAGACCUAACAAUUUGGAAGCUUCGUGCGUGGAAUUUUGUAGCAAUUAGUUGGUUUCAGGGGGGAUAAAUGCCCGUAACCACAAGAAAAUGUCAAAUUGGAUAUAGUUUACCAGCUUAACAUGACAAACUAUAUAGAGUUGAUCCAUAAUAUCUCCUUGCUAUACAAUCUGUGUCUUAUGCUUGACUGUGUCGCCGUUUUUCUUUUAUGUUUAUUUUAUUGUCUUUGCUGUCAUUUUAAAGGAAUGAGCAAAGUAUAGUAGCCGUGUAAGCUUAUAGUAGGACUAUCGACCUUGAAUAUUGCUGUUUGAUAUCAUAGAUCAAAUAUAAUAUUACAUUGAUAAAAUUUAUGCAGUUUGAACAUAUUCAUCCUCAUAUCCUCAUAUACUUAAAUGCAAGCAUCGCAUUCAUGCAAAGCUUCCGCUCGAAGCUUUCUCCCCACCUGCAAGGACGAGCAACCACCUGCAUUUCGUAAUAUUUACAUUUUUUUAACAAUUCAAAUUUCAAAAUCAAAAAACAAAUUAGUUUGUAGCUUAGUAGUACAAGAGAGCAUAGAAGAAGAUGCAAGCUUCCACGCGAAGAUUUCUCGCCGCCUGCAAGGAUGAGUAACCAGCUGCAAUUUGUAAUAUUUUACAAUAUUUUAACAAUUCAAAUUUCAAAUAAUUGUGUAGAUUAGUACGUGCUUAUUACCUAUUUCUUUUCCUCCUAAUUUUUACAUAGCUAACACAACUUGCUGCGUAAUUUUAUUUCCACACCAUGUCAAAUGUAGGUGAAUGAAAUAGAUUACCCAUCAAUCUGUUUUUGUUCUUUACAACUUGGUUUACACCUGUUCACCUCUGAAGAUAUGGUCCAAGCAAAGUGUUAGGAAGCGCAAGAAAUUUGGAGACAAAGAGAAUAUCUCAGGAAAUUCUGCCACUGAUGCUCUGCAGCAGGUACAAAACUUCGGGGAACCAUUUUCCUUGGUUAUCCGUGAAGGUGAAACUUUAGCAGACGUUAAAAUGCGUAUUCAAAAGAAAUUGCAGGUUUCAGACGAGGAGUUUCUAAAGGUACAUAUAUUUCUUUGUACAUGUUUCACCUUAGCAGAAGUUAAAAUGUGUAUUCAAAAAAAAAUUGCAGGCUCAACGAGGAGUUUCUAAAGGUACAUCUAUUUCUUUGUACACGGCUGCUCAAUAUUUAAUUUUCAACCAUAUCUAACAAUUUUUUCCACUUGAUUUGUAAUGUGAGAAUUAACACCCUUUUUUGCGUAUAUGUACUUUCUGGGGGUUUCAGUGGAAAUUUGCGCUCUUAUCACUGGGAAGGCCAGAUUAUUUGCUGGACUCGGAUGUUGUAUCUAGCCGUUUCCAGAGAAGGGACGUGUAUGGUGCUUGGAAGCAAUAUCUUGGGUUGGAGCACCCUAACAAUACUCCUAAAGAGCUUUGCUGCAAACUAUAAAUUUUUGCUGUAUCAGAUGAUAUGAGGACUCUUAAGCUAAUGGUCAAUUGAGACGGAGUGAUAGCAGAAUCACAGAUCAAAGCCAGUUUUAGUAUAAACGGAAGUUGUGAAGACAGAAAAGAACCUAUAUCAUGCUACUCAUGCUGUGAGGAGGAGCCUACUUCUUAGGACUGGAACUAUUAAACAUAGUAUUGCCUUUAGCUCAAUUUUAGUGUGGAAAAUUGUAUUUGAGCAAUUUAAACAUUUUCUGUCCUCUGGCUAUUGGAAUAUGAAUUAAAUUUGUUAGAAAAAUAUGUUUUUUCUCUGGAGAUUAAAAGAGGGUUAAAUUCUA